rnacentral:rRNA from 1 species
UACGUAGGGUGCAAGCGUUAUCCGGAAUUAUUGGGCGUAAAGAGCUCGUAGGCGGUUUGUCACGUCUGCUGUGAAAUCCCGAGGCUCAACCUCGGGCCUGCAGUGGGUACGGGCAGACUGGAGUGUGGUAGGGGAGACUGGAAUUCCUGGUGUAGCGGUGGAAUGCGCAGAUAUCUGGAGGAACACCGGUGGCGAAGGCGGCGAUCCUGGACCGGCAUUGACGCGUGAGGCGCGAAAGCUAGGGGAGCAAACGGG